rnacentral:rRNA from 1 species
GAUGAACGCUGGCGGCGUGCCUAAUACAUGCAAGUCGAGCGGAGAAACGGGGCUUGCUCUCCUGUUCAGUUGAGAGCGGGUGGGUAAGAAAUACGUGGCCAACCCUUCUAUAAGGGAUAAGCGACGGAAGGGAACCCGAAUCCAGGCUGCGAAGAAUAAUGAAACCUUCUGGUUGAGGAAAGAAUAUUGGUCAGGGAUGGACUAUAGACGGAUCAGCGCCGCAUUAGCUAGUUGGUAAGGUAACGGCUUACCAAGUCAACGACGCGUAGCCGACCUGAGAGGGUGAUCGGCCACACUGGAACUGAGCCACGGUCCAGACUCCUACGGGAGGCAGCAGUAGGGAAUCUUACGCAAUGGGCGAAAGCCUGACGGAGCAACGCCGAGUGAAUGAUGAAGGUCUUCGGAUCGUAAAGCUCUGUUAUUAGGGAAGAACAAAUGUGUAAGUAACUAUGCACGUCUUGACGGUACCUAAUCAGAAAGCCACGGCUAACUACGUG